rnacentral:rRNA from 1 species
AGAGUUUGAUCCUGGCUCAGAUUAAACGCUGGCGGCAUGCCUUACACAUGCAAGUCGAACGGCAGCACGGGGCAACCUGGUGGCGAGUGGCGAACGGGUGAGUAAAGCAUCGGAACGUGCCCUGGAGUGGGGGAUAACGUAGCGAAAGUUACGCUAAUACCGCAUAUUCUGUGAGCAGGAAAGCAGGGGAUCGCAAGACCUUGCGCUCUGGGAGCGGCCGAUGUCGGAUUAGCUAGUUGGUGGGGUAAAGGCCUACCAAGGCGACGAUCCGUAGCGGGUCUGAGAGGAUGAUCCGCCACACUGGGACUGAGACACGGCCCAGACUCCUACGGGAGGCAGCAGUGGGGAAUUUUGGACAAUGGGCGGAAGCCUGAUCCAGCCAUGCCGCGUGAGUGAAGAAGGCCUUCGGGUUGUAAAGCUCUUUCGGCCGGGAAGAAAUCGCAUGGGUUAAUACCCUGUGUGGAUGACGGUACCGGAAUAAGAAGCACCGGCUAACUACGUG